GACGAACGCUGGCGGCGUGCUUAACACAUGCAAGUCGAACGGAAAGGCCCUGCUUGCAGGGUCCUCGAGUGGCGAACGGGUGAGUAACACGUGGGUGAUCUGCCCUGCACUUCGGGAUAAGCCUGGGAAACUGGGUCUAAUACCGGAUAGGAGCCAUUUUUAGUGUGAUGGUUGGAAAGUUUUUUCGGUGUAGGAUGAGCUCGCGGCCUAUCAGCUUGUUGGUGGGGUAAUGGCCUACCAAGGCGGCGACGGGUAGCCGGCCUGAGAGGGUGGACGGCCACAUUGGGACUGAGAUACGGCCCAGACUCCUACGGGAGGCAGCAGUGGGGAAUAUUGCACAAUGGGCGCAAGCCUGAUGCAGCGACGCCGCGUGGGGGAGGACGGCCUUCGGGUUGGAAACUCCUUUCGCUAGGGACGAAGCUUUUUGUGACGGUACCUAGAUAAGAAGCACCGGCUAACUACGUG
rnacentral:rRNA from 1 species